ensembl:lncRNA
CUCAGCUGUGUGAUGAAGUGGGUAAAGGAGUUGGCCAGGGGGACUGAUGGUGUCAGAAACCAACCCGCCAUUCCCACCCCACCUCGUGUCCCUGGAGCCUCCAAGAGGAAGUUGCAUCCCCAUGCCGACUGAGCAGUUGCAUUCUUGCAUCCCAGGACUCCUGGCCAACAGAGCACCAUGAAGCUGUGCCUCAGCCCACAGAGGAUGGAGAUGUCUCUUUCAGAGCUCAGGAAUACAAUGACAAUGUUUAUUUGGCACUGAUUUCAGGAGCAACUGACUUAUAAUACAAGUAUACGGAGGGUCAUUGUUCUCAAGACCCGCCUGCAAUUUUAGUCUGAAAAAUAAUGGAACUGCAUGUGGCUUCAGUAAGGAAACCGAAUAUCAGCUCUUCUGGGGCACUGCAUU